GUCCCCACGGGUGACAGCCGCACAAACCGCAAGGCCCAAGCACCAGCCCAGCAGUGAAGUGCGGUAUUAAGAUGGCCGACAACACGCAGCCACGUGCGUAAUGGCGGGGCGAGAUGACCACAACAGGGUGCCCGUGCCACAGACCCAGGUAACAUCCCUGGAUUCCCUCCAGGAUACACCAGCAGCCCCCCUUGAAUAGCUUCAGAUGUGCUGAGCUACUUAUGACACUCUGAGACUUACCUGCCACCACUCCGCAUUUGGGAGAGCAUGUCUGGCAACCACACAGGCUUAGCCAUAUCCGGCAAGAAGCAACACCGGGUAAAUCUACAAACAACAUGCUUCUGGCACAACCACCCACACGGUAUCAUCAGAACGCAAGCCUCUGCCAGACGUGGGAACCGGCACCAUGUACAUCAGGCCCUGGAACCCGUGGAACACCACAGCCUCAAGACCAACACGACAUAAGGCAUAUAUGACUUUCUUGUACUAUACAAAAAGCUGGCUGCCUAGCUUAGGAGAACCACUUGUAGUUGUAAAAGCUAUAUACUUAUGAAAGGAAAUGUCAUAUUCAACGAGAUAAAAUACACAUACCCAUUUAGUGCAGCUACUGGUGUAUGUCGCAGCUUGCACGGUCUGUGUACACGUGGGCUUCACUACAGCUUCGAUAUAUCUCUCUGUUCAUUCCAGAUAAUC